rnacentral:rRNA from 1 species
AACGAACGCUGGCGGCAUGCCUAACACAUGCAAGUCGAACGAGCCCUCCGGGUCUAGUGGCGUACGGGUGCGUCACGCGUGGGAACCUGCCCUCAUGUUCGGAAUAACUCCCCGACAGGGGUGCUAAUACCGGAUAAUGUCUUCUGACCAAUGAUUUAUCGCCUUUGGUUGUGCCCGCGUUGGAUUAGAUUGUUCGUACGGUAAUAGCAUACCAAGGCGACGAUGCAUAGCUGGUAUGAGAGGAUGAUCAGCCACACUGGGAGUGAGACGCGGCCGAGAAUCCUACGGGAGGGGGCAGAGGGGAAUAGAGGAAAGUGGGCGGAAGGAUGAACCAGCAAUGAUGGGAGAGUGAUGAAGGUCUGAGGGUUGUAAAGCUCAAGUAACCAGGAAGAUAAUGACAGUACCGGGAGAAAAAGCCACGGCUAACUACGUG